rnacentral:tRNA from 1 species
GGGGGCGUAGCUCAGUUCGGUUAGAGCGCCGGCCUGUCACGCCGGAGGUCGCGAGUUCGAGCCUCGUCGCUCCCGCCA